AACGAACGCUGGCGGCAUGCCUAACACAUGCAAGUCGAACGAGACCUUCGGGUCUAGUGGCGCACGGGUGCGUAACGCGUGGGAACCUGCCCUUAGGUUCGGAAUAACUCCCCGAAAGGGGUGCUAAUACCGGAUAAUGUCUUCGGACCAAAGAUUUAUCGCCUUUGGAUGGGCCCGCGUUGGAUUAGCUAGUUGGUAGGGUAAAAGCCUACCAAGGCGACGAUCCAUAGCUGGUCUGAGAGGAUGAUCAGCCACACUGGGACUGAGACACGGCCCAGACUCCUACGGGAGGCAGCAGUGGGGAAUAUUGGACAAUGGGCGAAAGACUGAUCAAGCAAUGCCGCGUGAGUGAUGAAGGCCUUAGGGUUGUAAAGCUCUUUUACCCGGGAUGAUAAUGACAGUACCGGGAGAAUAAGCUCCGGCUAACUCCGUG
rnacentral:rRNA from 1 species